rnacentral:rRNA from 1 species
AAUGGGGGCAACCCUGAUCCAGCCAUGCCGCGUGAGUGAUGAAGGCCUUAGGGUUGUAAAACUCUUUUGUCCGGGAAGAUAAUGACUGUACCGGAAGAAUAAGCCCCGGCUAACUUCGUGCCAGCAGCCGCGGUAAUACGAAGGGGGCUAGCGUUGUUCGGAAUCACUGGGCGUAAAGCGCACGUAGGCGGAUCGUUAAGUCAGAGGUGAAAUCCCGGAGCGCAACUUCGGAACUGCCUUUGAUACUGGCGGUCUCGAGUUUGGAAGAGGUUGGUGGAACUGCGAGUGUAGAGGUGAAAUUCGUAGAUAUUCGCAAGAACACCAGUGGCGAAGGCGGCCAACUGGUCCAAUACUGACGCUGAGGUGCGAAAGCGUGGGGAGCAAA